UACGGAGGGGGUUAGCGUUGUUCGGAAUUACUGGGCGUAAAGCGCGCGUAGGCGGACUAGUAAGUCAGAGGUGAAAUCCCAGGGCUCAACCUUGGAACUGCCUUUGAUACUGUUAGUCUUGAGUUCGAGAGAGGUGAGUGGAAUUCCGAGUGUAGAGGUGAAAUUCGUAGAUAUUCGGAGGAACACCAGUGGCGAAGGCGGCUCACUGGCUCGAUACUGACGCUGAGGUGCGAAAGUGUGGGGAGCAAACAGG
rnacentral:misc_RNA from 1 species